rnacentral:rRNA from 1 species
CGGAGGAAAAGAAACUAACAAGGAUUCCCCUAGUAACGGCGAGUGAAGCGGGAAGAGCUCAAACUUAAAAUCUCCGUUGCUUGCAACGGCGAAUUGUAGUCUCGAGAAACGUUUUCAAGGCGGAUGUACUGCGCUCAAGUUGCUUGGAACGGCACAUCGUAGAGGGUGACAAUCCCGUAUGUGGCGCAGUGCACUGUUCACGAUGCGUUUUCUAUGAGUCGGGUUGGUUGGGAAUCCAGCCCAAAAUGGGAGG